rnacentral:rRNA from 1 species
UACGUAGGGGGCAAGCGUUGUCCGGAAUCAUUGGGCGUAAAGCGCACGUAGGCGGCCCGGUAAGUCCGUUGUGAAAGUCAGAGGCUCAACCUCUGGAGGCCAAUGGAUACUGCCGGGCUAGAGUCCGGAAGAGGCGAGUGGAAUUCCUGGUGUAGCGGUGGAAUGCGCAGAUAUCAGGAGGAACACCAAUGGCGAAGGCAGCUCGCUGGGACGGUACUGACGCUGAGAAGCGAAAGCAUGGGGAGCAAACAGG